rnacentral:rRNA from 1 species
AACGUAGGAGACAAACGUUAUCCGGAGUUACUGGGCGUAAAGGGCGUGCAGGUGGUCGACUAAGUCUGGCGUGAAAGCUCCCGGCUAAACCGGGAGAGGUCGUUGGAUACUGGUGGACUAGAGGACGGUAGAGGUGUGUGGAAUUCCGGGUGUAGUGGUGAAAUGCGUAGAGAUCCGGAGGAACACCAGUGGCGAAGGCGACACACUGGGCCGUACCUGACACUAAGACGCGACAGCAUGGGGAGCGAACGGG